CACGGAGUUAGCCGGUGCUUCUUCUGCGAGUAACGUCAAUCGCUGCAGCUAUUAACUGCAACGCCUUCCUCCUCGCUGAAAGUGCUUUACAACCCUAAGGCCUUCUUCACACACGCGGCAUGGCUGCAUCAGGCUUGCGCCCAUUGUGCAAUAUUCCCCA
rnacentral:rRNA from 1 species